AUUGAACGCUGGCGGCAUGCUUUACACAUGCAAGUCGAACGGUAACAGGCCGCAAGGUGCUGACGAGUGGCGAACGGGUGAGUAAUGCAUCGGAACGUGCCCAGUCGUGGGGGAUAACUACUCGAAAGAGUAGCUAAUACCGCAUACGAUCUAUGGAUGAAAGCGGGGGACCGUAAGGCCUCGCGCGAUUGGAGCGGCCGAUGUCAGAUUAGGUAGUUGGUGGGGUAAAGGCUCACCAAGCCAACGAUCUGUAGCUGGUCUGAGAGGACGACCAGCCACACUGGGACUGAGACACGGCCCAAACUCCUACGGGAGGCAGCAGUGGGGAAUUUUGGACAAUGGGCGCAAGCCUGAUCCAGCAAUGCCGCGUGCAGGAAGAAGGCCUUCGGGUUGUAAACUGCUUUUGUACGGAACGAAACGGCUCUGGUUAAUACCCGGGGCUAAUGACGGUACCGUAAGAAUAAGCACCGGCUAACUACGUG
rnacentral:rRNA from 1 species